GCUCGCUUUGGCAGCACGUAGUGAAGUUGGAACAAUACGGAAAGAUUAGCAUGGUCCCUCCACAAGGAUGACAUGCAAAUUCUUGAAGUGUUCCAUAGUUUU